ACGUAGUUGGCCGGGGCUUCUUCUGGAGGUACCGUCAAUUUCGUCCCUCCUGAAAGGGGUUUACAACCCGAAGGCCUUCAUCCCCCACGCGGCGUCGCUGUCUCAGGCUUGCGCCCAUUGGACAAGAUUCCCU
rnacentral:rRNA from 1 species